GACUUUAAAAUCACAUUCACAGAACAAUAUAUAUAUAUAUAUAUAACUUUAGUAACACUUUACAAUAAGAUUUCAUUUAUAAACAUUAUGUUAACAUGAACAAUAUUUAUAUAGCAUUCAUUCAUGUCAGUUAAUAUUCCAAACUUAAACAUUAAAACAUUGUUUUAUUGUGAUUUUUUUCCAAGCACAUUUUACCAAUUCCAAACCAUAUCAAUCUUAAUAACUACCAUUAUUUUUUAUUUAAUCAUUUAUGAGUGCUAUACAAUAGUCCAGGAAAGCUGGAAGAGAAAAACAGGUCAAGAAGAACUGACAAAAAGAAUUACAAAAUAAUUAGGAAUUAAUGUGAAGAUUAAUUUUUAGUCAAUUCUGCAAGACAGACUUUCAGGAAAGGAGGUGGAAUAAAAAUGAGCUCCUAAAUCUUAAUCCCAGAUUCUGGAAGAUAUAUUCCUCAAACCAUCGGACAAGAGGAGGUGGUGCUGGUCCUUCACGAGUCACUCUAAUCUGUUCAUUAAGCCUAUAUAUAAAGUCUCAAUAUAUAGUAUUUCACAAUACUUCAUGGUAUUCUAAUUAAAUCAUUUUUUGGAAUCUUAAGUCUCUCAGAGCCUGACACCGAGUAAUUCUGGAGACUCCAGGAAAGUGGCAGUUCUGUAAAAUGUUGGCGCUGGAGACUAAAUGCACCCUGAUAGAUUCACACCUAAUUCACUUAACACACACACACACACACAUUACCCACAGUGACAGUGGAACUGAGUGACAUCAGAUGUAUGAUAGUUUUUUAAUUUUCUAUCAUCCAUAUAGUGUUGUAUAGUCAUGAAACUAUGGUCAUGAGACCAGUCAUUCUGAGGAAAUAUGCCUCAGAAUGACUGGUCUUCUAUGUGUACAUUUUUUUGAAGUGUUUAGAAGCUGCACUUUAAAAAAAUAAAAAGACAUUUACUGGUU